UGUAUAAUAUUAUCCAAUGUUGGUCCUCCUAUAGUCUCAUACAAGCUAACAACCCUUCAAGUCCCUCCAUCUUAGGUACAGUAGACCGGCACGGUAGUGUAUGUAAGCUGCUGCCACAACCAAGAUAUGGAAAAGCUGGUGACUGCUCCCAGCAAUAUCAAACUUCCCCGGUCUCCACCGCUCGGGUAUCCUUGUAGCAUAAAUCAAUGCCCCUAGUCCAUUAACAACCCCCAUUAACACCUCAUAGCCGGCAGUCUGGGUGGCCUCUGGCUGAUUCCUGAACAAUAUGAGCUUAUGAACUAUAGGCACGACACUUGACACGCCCAUCCCAAAGAAGAGAGAAGCACGAUGGCUACGAAACUUGGGUCCUUGGAAAAAUGGGAGUUGGGAGAAAACCAUGGUGGUGAUACCUAGUACUGUGAUGAAACCUAAGUAGAGGUUGCAAAGGAAGGGGUUGCACAUGAAGGAGUAGUAGACAGUAGGGUAAAAUGAGGUCAUGAUGAGUGCAGUGAUGCCUGCAUAGUCACAUCUUUGCAUUAUGGAGGAAAGGCGCGCUGAAUGGCAAGCAACGAGAUGGCAGGUGCUGCUGGCUAGCAAGCAGAACAUGACUCCACCUAGAAACACAAAGAAGGGCCGCCUUGUUAUGGGCCGAUACAUAAGGGGGGCCACCAUGUUCAUCACGUCAUCCAUUACUCCAUCCUGCAAUUGUUAAACAAAUAACAAAGGCAUAAGGCUGGAAAACAAAAGGACUUCCAAUUAAAAAGUAUGUUGCCAUUGGUAUAUAGACCGGAUUUUAUAGAGACUUUAUCAGAAAGUUUACAUCAGUAGCUGGGUAAAAAAUUCAUGCAUGUAAAGGGAAUAAAAAAAAAGUCAAAUAAAAUUUGAAAAGCACUCAAAGACAUCUUUGCAUUGGAGUUGCAUUUUUUAAUCAAAGAGCAGGACAAUACCAGAACAGAAUUCUCUGUUUGAUUGCCAUGGGAGAACCGGUCAGGCAAGCAAUUGGCGAGAAGUUCCCUUAUAUUCCCUGAAGCUGAGGGGGGAAAAUCCAUAGACGGCAAAGAUAGCGAAGGGAGGCAAUUCAACAGUUCUGGAUGAAUUCUGUGCAAAUCGGCUCUUCUAAUCAUGUCAGACAAACGUUGCAGGGAAGACAGAUCCAUGAGGUCUGGAGCUUUUGUUGCUGUGUAUAUGGUUAGGAAAAGGAAAAGGAAGAACCCGAUCAAAUACAACAACAACAACAACAACAACAACAAAGCAUUUUCCCACUAAGUGGGGUCGGCUAUAUGAAUCCUAGAACGCCAUUGCGCUCGGUUUUGUGUCAUAUCCUCCGUUAGAUCCAAGUACUCAAGUCUUUUCUUAGGGUCUCUUCCAAAGUUUUCCUAGGUCUUCCUCUACCCCUUCGGCCCUGAACCUCUGUCCCGUAGUCACAUUUUCGAACCGGAGCGUCAGUAGGCCUUCUUUGCACAUGUCCAAACCACCGGAACCGAUUUUCUCUCAUAUUUCCUUCAAUUUUGGCUACUCCUACUUUACCCCGGAUAUCCUCAUUCCCAAUCUUAUCCUUUCUCGUGUGCCCAUACAUCCCACGAAGCAUCCUCAUCUCCGCUACACCCAUUUUAUGUACGUGUCGAUGCUUCACUGCUCAACAUUCUGUGUCAUACAACAUCGCUGGCCUUAUUGUCGUCCUAUAAAAUUUUUCCUUGAGCUUCAGUGGCCUACGACGGUCACACAACACGCCGGAUGCACUCUUACACUUCAUCCAUCCAGCUUGUAUUCUAUGGUUGAGAUCUCCAUCUAAUUCUCCGUUCUCUUGCAAGAUAGAUCCUAGGUAGCGAAAACGGUCACUUUUUGUGAUCUUCGCUAGAUUGCUCCGGUCAUUAGUGUGGAUAAGUAUAUAAAUGGAUAGAGAUAGGAAAGCAAACACAAGAUGUACGUGGUUCACCCAUAUUGGCUACGUCCACGGAAUAGAGGAGUUCUCAUUAAUUGUGAAGGGUUUACACAAGUACAUAGGUUCAAGCUCUCAUUUAGUGAGUACAAGUGAAUGAUUUAGUACAAAUGACAUUAGGAAAUAUUGUGGGAGAAUGAUCUCGUAACCACGAAACUUCUAAGUACCGGAGUGUGGUAUCGUCUUGACUUGCCUUAUCUGUCUCAUAGGUAGAUGUGUCAUCUUCUCUGGAAGUACUCUUCCUCCAUCCAGGGGUGGUAUCUGUAACUGGUGGAGAUGCACAAGGUAAUGUAUCAAUUUCACUUGAAGCUUACUUGUAGUUUCAGGCUUGGUCAAGCGCGAUACAAACCAUGUAGUAGGAGUCCCCCAAGUCGCCGAGCUAGGGGAUCUGCUGAAAGAGGUGACAGACAAGGUAAGCAAUCAGAGCUCCGACUGAUUGUUCACAUUCUCCCUAUCUUGCAGGCAGCAUGAAGGAUAAAGAGAAGAAAAAUGAGAAGAGAUGAUAUGGGAUACUUUUGCUUUUGAAGAAGUAACUUUCCACAAGCUUAUUCUUGAACCGGGCUGGAGGGUUUUCUGGUUUCCUCCAGAGUAUAAGGCCGACUGAAGAAUUUGAGGGUCAAAACAAGUCCAUCAAAUCUAGAGUACGUUCGACCCUGCUGAUAUGGGAUACUUUUUCUUUUGACAGAGUAGUGGAUGUAUCGGCACGUGUGUUGUUACGCUUGUCUCCACAUGCUUCCUUGUAUCCUUCUCACUUGCCCUAUCUGUUCCUCAGGUAGAUGCGGUAUCUUCCCUGGAAGCAUAAGAUGUUGAAGAUGAGUACUCGAGAGCAAUGCCAGGUAAGUAAUCAGGUAAGGGGUUCCAGGCAGUCAAUUCCUGGCUGGAAGCUUGAUUCCAAGUGCUGACUGAUUGCUCUCUUUCUCCUUGUCUUGCAGGUAAGAACAAGGCCAAAGGAAAAGACAGGGAAAAAGCAUGAUAUAGGAUACUCUUGCUUUUAACCAUGAUGAUAUGAGAUAUUCUUGCUCUUGUUUACAGAUGUAUUAUCGGGGGGAAAGAAAGCUGAAUAUUUCGAAAGGCUUCGUUGGGAGUGCCCUCUCAGAUAAGAGGAAUGGUUGAGCAUUUUUGCAGGUCUGCCUGUCCGUUAGGGAUGGAGGUCGACAUAUAUAGGAGUCUCCCUAACAUCAAGUAAUAAUGCUAUUCCUUUACCCUGCUUGGUCAUAGCACGGUAGUGGGAGCUGCCAGCUUCACAUGUUUUAACUCUGUCAGAGCACUUUGAAAAAGUGGUCUGUGGUAUCUGGAAAGCUGAUGUUGCGUGUGAAGAUUACGGACAAGCUUUAUCCAAGGAGAUCCAGCUCUUGAAGUUGGGAAAGUGGUGCCUCUUCGGUUUUCGAACAAGCAAUCCUGUCGGGGAUCUGGCUCUCGAGAUUCGGAUAACGAUGUCUCUUCGAUUUUUGAGAAAGCAAUCCUGCUGGGGGUCUGGCUCUCGAGAUUCGGAGAGCGGUGUCUCUUCGAUUUUUGAGAAAAUAAUCAUAUUGGGAGUCUGGCUCUCGAGAUUCGGAUGGCAAUGCCUCUUCGAUUUUGGAGCAAGCAAUCUUGUUGGGAGUGUUUUCUCGAAUGUGAGUAAAGGUUGGGCAUGUUUGCUAGUCUACCUUGCCACGAAGCACAGAGGUUGACACACAGGGACUUUCCAAUUAUCCAGCAGUGGUACUGUUCCUUUACCCUCUCUUCGAUUUUUGAGAAAGUAAUCAUGUUGGGAGUCUGGCUCUCGAGAUUCGGAGGGCGGUGCCUCUUCGAUUUUGGAGCAAGCAAUCUUGUUGGGAGUGUUUUCUCGAAUGUGAGUAAAGGUUGGGCAUGUUUGCUAGUUUACCUUGCCACGAAGCACAGAGGUUGACACACAUGGACUUUCCAAUUAUCCAGCAGUGGUACUGUUCCUUUACCCUCUCUUCGAUUUUUGAGAAAGUAAUCAUGUUGGGAGUCUGGCUCUCGAGAUUCGGAAGGCGGUGCCUCUUCGAUUUUGGAGCAAGCAAUCUUGUUAUGAGUGUUUUCUCGAAUGUGAGUAAAGGUUGGGCAUGUUUGCUAGUCUACCUUGCCACGAAGCACAGAGGUUGACACACCGGGACUUUCCAAUUAUCCAGCAGUGGUACUGUUCCUUUACCCUUGUGGGUAAUAAUAUGGUAGCUAGACCUUCAAAAUUUAUGUGUCUAAACUUUGUUAGUGUUGUUUCUUUGCUAUUCUUUUACCCUUCUUGGUCAGAGCGAUGUAGUAGGAGCUGCAAGCUUCACGUGUCUCAACUUUGUCAGAGAACUUUGGCAAAGUUAUCUGUGGUACCCAUGAGCUACUGUUGCAUGUGGGAAGUGGGUGAUUGAACAGUACGAUUCAUGUGCUUUCUACUUCGCCAGAAAUCUUCGACAGAAUGCCCAUAAUUUCCGCAAAGCUGAGUGUGCGUGUGACAGGUGCUGACAAGGCUGGAAAAGUAGGUGCCUCUUCGAUUUCUGAGAUCGGCCCUCGUGGUCUCUGAGCAGCCCAGCUUUUGAGAAAGCAAGCCUCUUCGAUUUCUGAGAUCGGCAUUUGUGGUCUUUGAGCAGCCCAGCUUUUGAGAAAGCAAACGCCUCUUCGAUUUCUGAGAUCGACCCUCGUGGUCUCUGAGCAGCCCAGCCUUUGAGAAAGCAAACGCCUAUUCGAUUUCUGAGCAGGCGCCUCUUCGAUUUCUGAAGCUUCGUCGAGUGCAGAUUUUUAUAAGGGCUGACAUUAAGUUCCAAAGCACACUUGAAUAUCCACCAGUAGAAGCUCCAUUCUUGCACUUCUAAGAUCUUGAUUUGUCCGACCUCUUCUCUCUUCUUCAACACCUUUGAAAAUGUCUGGCCCCUCCGACCGUCGUUUUGACUUGAACCUUGUUGAAGAGGCAGCCCCGCCUUCUCCAGACAACAUAUGGCGCCCAUCCUUCGUCUCCCCUACUGGUCCUCUUACCGUUGGGGAUUCCGUGAUGAAGAAUGAUAUGACCGCUGCGGUAGUGGCCAGGAACCUUCUCACUCCCAAAGAUAACAGACUACUUUCCAAACGGUCUGAUGAGUUGGCUGUUAAGGAUUCUCUGGCUCUCAGUGUUCAGUGUGCAGGUUCUGUGUCUUCUAAUAUGACCCAACGCCUAUUUGCUCGAACCCGCCAAGUUGAAUCAUUGGCGGCUGAAGUGAUGAGUCUCAAACAGGAGAUUAGAGGGCUCAAGCAUGAGAAUAAACAGUUGCACCGGCUCGCACAUGACUAUGCUACAAACAUGAAGAGGAAGCUUGACCAGAUGAAGGAAUCUGAUGGUCAGGUUUUACUUGAUCAUCAGAGAUUUGUGGGUUUGUUCCAAAGGCAUUUAUUGCCUUCGUCUUCUGGGGCUGUACCGCGUAAUGAAGCUCCAAAUGAUCAACCUCUGAUGCCUCAUCCUUCUAGGGUUCUGUCCAGUACUGAGGCUCCGAAUGAUCCCCAUCCGGUGCCUUCUCUUUCUGGGGCUCUACCGACUGCUAAGACUUCUCCUAAGCAACCUUUGUGAAGGCUCCCUCUUGUUUGUUUAUUUUGACUCAAGUAUAUGUACAUAUUUGUAACUUAUCGGGGAUAUCAAUAAAUAAGCUUUCCUUCAUUUCAACGUAUUGUGUUAAAUAAACCAAAGCCUUCUUCGCUAAGUUCUUUGAAUUUUCUUUUGUUGAAGCUUGUAUGUUGAAGCUUUGUGAGUGGAGCAUGUAGGUUGAGGUAGUGUUCCCUUAAUUUCCCGAGUGAGGAAAACUUCUCGGUUGGAGACUUAGAAAAUCCAAGUCACUGAGUGGGAUCGGCUAUAUGAAUCUUAGAACGCCAUUGUGUUCUGUCUUGUCUCAUGUCCUCCGUGAGAUCCAAGUACUCUAAGUCUUUUCUUAGGGUCUCUUCCAAAGUUUUCCUAGGUCUUCCUCUACCCCUUCGGCCCUGAACCUCUGUCCCAUAGUCGCAUCUUCUAAUCGGAGCGUCAGUAGGCCUUCUUUGCACAUGUCCAAACCACUGUAACCGAUUUUCUCUCAUCUUUCGUUCAAUUUCGGCUACUCCUACUUUACCCCGGAUAUCCUCAUUCCUAAUCUUAUCCUUUCUCGUGUGCCCACACAUCCAACGAAGCAUCCUCAUCUCCGCUACACCCAUUUUGUGUACGUGUUGAUGCUUCACCGCCCAACAUUAUGUGCCAUACAGCAUCGCCGGCCUUAUUGCCGUCCUAUAAAAUUUUCCCUUGAGCUUCAGUGGCAUACGGCGGUCACACAACACGCCGGAUGCACUCUUCCACUUCAUCCAUCCAGCUUGUAUUCUAUGGUUGAGAUCUCCAUCUAAUUUUCCGUUCUUUUGCAAGAUAGAUCCUAGGUAACGAAAACGGUAGCUCUUUGGUAUUUCUUGAUCUCCGAUCCUCACCCCUAACUCGUUUUGGUCUCCAUUUGCACUGAACUUGCACUCCAUAUAUUCUGUCUUUGAUCGGCUUAGGCGAAGACCUUUAGAUUCCAACACUUCUCUCCAAAGGUUAAGCUUUGCAUUUACCCCUUCCUGAGUUUCAUCUAUCAACACUAUAUCGUCUGCGAAAAGCAUACACCAAGGAAUAUCAUCUUGAAUGUCCUGUUAACUCAUCCAUGUAUGGAUGAGUUAACAGGACAUAUUCAAGAUGAUAUUCCUUGGUGUAUGCUUUUCGCAGACGAUAUAGUGUUGAUAGAUGAAACUCAGGAAGGGGUAAAUGCAAAGCUUAACCUUUGGAGAGAAGUGUUGGAAUCUAAAGGUCUUCGCCUAAGCCGAUCAAAGACAGAAUAUAUGGAGUGCAAGUUCAGUGCAAAUGGAGACCAAAACGAGUUAGGGGUGUGUGAAUAACUAUUAAGAGCAAUGGUCUUAAAAGCAUUUCUCAGCAAUGUUAUUUACUUGAGAGGCACAGCUUCAAAAAACAAAUAACCAUUGCAUUGUAUUGCGGUAAUAAGUAUUAGGCACUAGAGUACUUACGUCCAGACAUUAAGAGUCUGAUUAUGAAUGGAAAAGAUGCUUAGAAACACCUGCUUCAAUGGCCAUUCCGAUCGGUAAUGACCCAAAAUGAACUCAUUGUCCCUUAAAAAAUCAGGCAAUGAAUGGUAUUCAAUAAGCUGAUAUUUAACUUUCUUCCUGAGUCUCUUUCCCUUUGCUUCCUUUGAACGCGUUUCGUUUACAUCUUCAUGGUCGAAUUGAUUUUCUUCUGAUCUAGUUUCUGCAACCAAGAAGCAUUGAGAAGCAUUUUCCUACUAAGCACAGACAAGACUACAAACGAAGGUCUGUCAAAAAUUAAGUCCAAGUGCUUUUCUUGGAGAGAGAUAACUAUACAUGGGAACACGCAUCAUAUAAACAAAAUCCGUAACCAUUUCGUUUUUAGUUUUCCCGUUUUUGUUAGGAAUAGAGGAGAAAUACAAAGGAGAAAAGACGGAUGAAGGAAGGUGGAGGAAUGAUGGCGGGAAGGGUGUGGGAGAAAUGUACAUGGAAGAGUACACAAAGUAAAAACUAAAAACCGGAACAAUAUUUAGUAGCUUUUCAAGUUUCUAGUUUUUGUUUUCUACUUUCUCCCCCCGCCUUCUUUAUUUCUCAUUCCUCCAUAUACAUUCCCUCUAUUUCUACCAAGGAAAAAAUGAAAACAAAACUAAAAACGAAAUAAUUAUCAAACGAGCCCUAAGUAAAGGCUCGUUUGGAAGUACUUUUAAAUGAUUGAAAGCGCUUUUGGUAAAUUGAUUUUGGGUUCCCAAAGCACUUAAGUGCUUUUCAAAAUAAGCACCAGUAUGUGCUUCAUGCAGGAAACACUUAAAAGCUUUUUCAAGAUCCACUUAGAUUUUUACUAAAGAUUGAUUUCAAUAAUAUUUCACCAAAAACGCUUUCAGUCAUUACAAGUGGAGUUCACUUGACCACUGACAUACAAGCCAUCCACAUUCUUGCUUUCCUCUGAGAUACAUACGGCCGGCCCUUCGGGCAUCCUGGCGAUACAAAUACUGUUUCAGAGUUUUCUCAAAUAUUGACAGAUGAUUAAAUGUUUCAUCAAACCAUAUUGUUGCCCUUACAAAUAGGCACGUCCCUUUUAAUUUAACACAAAGAUUAUCCAAACCAAGAUUUUUCUUGUGAAAUUUACUGCCUUCUUCUCUUUUUCUCCUCACCCAUAACUACUAAUAUUAAGAUUAGCAUUCCUAAUCAAAAGGAUGUUUCUAAUCUCCAAAGACAUUACAAAUUCUUUUGACAAAUUCUCAACAAAUUGAUAGGAUUCCCAUGAAAAACAUACAAAUAGAAAAACCAGGCCACAGUACGAUCAAUCUUUCAUAUGCCAUGACUAAAAUGCACAGCUGAUAACCAAAACAUUAGAAUUAGAAGAUAAUAUAUGAGAGGAAAAGUAAUUACCUGAUAAUGGAGAAUCACCACCCAUGAUCAAGAUUCAAACCCAAAAGGAGUUUUCUUGAUGUUGUUUGGUUUUAGCUUCGAUGGAAACAAUGGAAAUUUUCUUGGGAAAAGUUUUACUUUUACUUUUAUAUUCCUGGGAAACUUGUCCAGGGGAAGACAAUUACCCGAGAUAACAUAAAAGUAUAAAUUCCAGAUGUUGGAGUGUGGUGAGAGAGGGAACAGGUACUAUCCGGAUUUUGAAGAUCAAUCAAUCAGGUUCAUCAUAUAUUGUACAGUCAUUUUUUAAAUUUUUAUUUAAAAAUAAACACAAACAGUAACUAACGAAAACCAUUAAUAUUUUCUCGGAAAAAGUUUUACUUUCCUGAGAAACUUAUGCGGGGGAAGAAUAUUACCCGAGAGAACAGAGUAAUGUUAUAUAGACGCACAAAAAUAACACACUCAAAUUAGAGAUCGUUUCAAUUAGAGUAGGCUUCCUGUCCAAAUCCCAAAUGGGGGGUAGGUGAAUCGUCAUCCUUUGCCCUCCAUUUGCCUUGUUCCAAGCACACCAUUUCUCUGUACUGAGUUCGUAAGCACUUGGACGUGUGUUUAAAUUCUGUAAUACGAGAUUAGUGACUAAUCAUUUCCUUCAUUAUCUAAACCACUAUCACAAACAUUCGUACCUUCAAAUGUGAUCCUGCUGGUGUUUCCUCUUCUUCAAGAUUGUACUCGACGCACCACAUGUGCCGACGUGACCCAAAAUCUCAAUUCAAUUCGAAAUGGAUAACCUAAACACACAAAUUUCAAUUCAAUUCGAAAUUUCAAACUUCAUUACAUAAUAAUUGAAACCAACAUGACCCAAAAUCUCAAAUUCCAUCCAGUUAAAUUUGAAUUGAGCUAAAUUUUACUACUAAAUCGAAAGAAUCAGUAAAAAACUCACAAGGUGAGAGUAAAAUGCAUGAAAGUAAUUCGGGGGAGUAGCAUGGUGACGACGCCGCGUUUGGGUUUGGAGCCACGAGACGACGCCGGAUUGAGGGAGGGAGGAAGGGCGGAGCUUGUGGCCGGAGAAGUCGGAGGAGAGGCUGUUGCCGGCGAAGGGAGAGAGGAAGCUGGUGGAAAGGGAGGCUCUGGGAGGGGAAUGAGACGACAUCAGAUUGGGCGGGUAGUGUUCAGGGCUCGGGGAGUGGUGGCCGUUGCUAACAUGUGUGGAGCGCGAAGCUGGAAGCUGUGGUUGGCACCUCCAUUGAUGAGUUUCGAACGGUGGUUAACUGGAGAACGCAGUAUCCAAAUGGAAGGAGAUAUCGAAACCAAAUAAAGUGGGCUCUUUUGGUUUUUGGGCUACAAAAUAUUUAGCCCAUAACAUGGGACAUUCCAGCCCAGUAUGUCCUUUCGUUCAAACUUUUUUUUUUUUUUUUUUUUUGUAAAACUAUAUAUAUUUACAUUGAAGGGUGGAAUAAUUGAAUGCAUCGAUGUCUAAACUUAAAACUUCUCAAUUACAUAAAACUUUUUACUUACACAUGAAAAAAAAAUGUUCAAGGGAAAAAACAUGAACAAGAAAUGGUAAAUGUCCAAUCGUUUGGCUAUAAUCAUCAUGAAGAUGUCAAUGACUGGAGUUACCUAAAACUAUAAUUAAUAUUAGGCAAAGAGAUUCUAUACGUGACGGUGUAACAUUGUUCCACAAAAUAUUUUCAAAUAUCCUGUUCUCUCACAAAGUAAUGAGUUAUGGGAAAAAUUGUGCAUGGAUCAUGUGAAACUCACACACACUUAAAUUUAGUAGUGGGCAUAAACUAACUGAACCGUCCAAACUAGCCAAUCUGAACCGUUUUGGUCGGUUUAGUUUCAUUUUGACGAGAAACAAGUUACACAAUUUAAAAACUGAACCGAUUUUAUGUUGGUUUGUUUUGUUUCACUUUUGAAAUUGACCAAAACUAAACUGAAUCGAUUGUAUAUCUUUUAAUUAUAAUUUUUACUUAUUUUACACAUAUAAUGGGUUAUUUAGAUGUCUAAGCGUACAUAUAUUAUGUUGUAAAUAUGGAUGUCCAUUGUUUGUUAGGGUGGAAGGCACCAAAGCAUGAGUAUGGAAGACACCAAAGCAUUAAUGGGUGUAGUAGGUAAAGGAUUUUGUCUAUAAAAUGAAUGAGAGGGGAAGGAGGAGAAUUCAUCAACAAGAGAGGAAAUUAUGGAAGAAGAGAGGAGAGAAUAGAGAGAGUUAUCUUUGUACUCCUAUUAUUCCAGAUAAUGAAUGAAAGCACCAUUGCUGCCCUGAUGACGUACUCCAGUCACACUGAUUGUAGAGGAACCUCGUAAAUAUUGUGUCUUGUUUCAUUUAUUCCACUACACAUAUACCGUUAAUUUUACAACAUGUUAUCAACACGAGAAGCUCUCGUGUCAGUGGAAAACACAACGCCACAAAUCCAGUGAAGCACUACCUACCUCUCACCUAUGUCAACUGGAAUCUCACAGAUAAAAAAAUCUUUCAUUUCAUCUUCAAAUCUUUGUACUAUUGAUUUUCUUGAAGCAACUAUAUAUCUUGUUGUAUGAUUGUAUAUCAUCCUUUGUAGAAGCAAAAGAGUACAAACUCAAAAUUCGUAGAAAAUCUGACAGCCAUGUAAACAGCCUUUAAACUCCAACUUGCUGACCUCAGAUUGAAAUACUUUCUUCUUGAAAGUUGUUCGUCCACCCAGUAUCUAUAACAUAUCAAAUUUUCAGAAAAUUCCAAUGGUGCAAUCAUCACAAAUGUUUGAAGCACCAACCUAGUUUCCAAUCCUGCAGAAAACUGAACAGCCAUCUUAUGAGUACCAAAACUCUGUUUUUAGUAGCUCAGUCAAAACUAUUUCUUCACGAAAGUUGUUCGGUAUCCUCUUAUCCAUAUCGUACUAAAAUUUGAGUUAAAUCUAAUAGUUUGAUCUUCUCAUAAGUUGCAGGCACUCCUCUUGACUCCAAAACUUAUGGGAACCGUUUCGACUCUUUCGAAACUUACCGGAGUAGGAACACAAAUUGAGACUUAUUGCUAUCAUUACUCCUUGAGUAACUAAAAGGACUUAGAGUUGUGAAAAUAAAAAAAAUAAAAAAAAAAUAAAAGGGAUGAAACAAAAGGAAGUGGCAUACAAAGAAAAAGAAAAGAAAAAAAAAUGAUGGAAACUUAAUCAUCACCCUUUUCUAUUAUUGCUUUAUUUAUGUGAAUGUUGAUAGUUUAAAGCCCUUUCACAAGUUCCAUUUACUUAAAAGCAAUUAAUUUACGGUGGGUGUAAUUAUUGCCCUUUACUUUAAGCUUUGAUGUAUGUGAAUAGUAUUGAAUUAAAGUCCUUGUCAUAAGCUUUAUUUACUUAAAAGCAAUUUAUUUAUUAUGGCUGGAAUUACCGCAUAUUGCUUUAAUUUAUUUAUUGUACUUCUUUUGUUAUGAUGAGUAUAUACAGGACUCGAAGUUCCUUGUCAGAUCAGAACCUACAAUUUCUUGAUCCUUAUCAUAUAAAAUGAUUGGACCAAAAGUUCCAUCAUGUAAAAAGAUCAGACAUGAAUUUCCUUGAUCAUCAUUAGGCCUGACAAUUCCUGCCACGACCCGAUAACCCGACACGACACGACACAAAAUUAACAAGUGUUUGGGUCGACACGAUAACGAAUCGGGUUGUUAUCGGGUAACCCGAUAAGCACCUCUUAAGAUAACGGGUUGGUUCGAAUAUACACGUGGAUAUCACGAUACACGAUAAGCAAAAUAUUAGUUUUAUAAUUUUAUAUAACCCUAAAAAUAUGCUAUAAUAAUUAUAUACAUUAAUUUAACAAUUUUAUGCCCCUAAAAACUAUAAUAAUUAUAUAUAUAUAUUAAAUUAAAUAUUAAAAAUUGGCGACCAUUGGAUCUGCUUAAAUAUACAUACCAUUCAAUUUCUUAAGUAUUAUACGUACAAAAUAAAUAAAUUUAAAUCUACUUAAUAAAUAUAUAUACACACCAUUGAACUUGAUGGUAUAUGAAUUCUACGAAACUAAUUUCAACGAUCCAACCGCCAAACUUGUUUGUAUAUGCUUCGAGAUCGCAUUAGCAAAAAAUUGCAAAAAACAAACAUUUAGAGAUCAAGUAACGGGACAAAACUUUUCGACGGUUAUCAACGAAAAAUCACGAUUUAACGGUUAUUUUAACUCCGAUUUUGAUGAUUUUUUACAGCUACACUCCUUGACCCUAUAUGAAUACAAUGAAUGAAUUCGAUCUUCAAUUUAAAAUAUUUACACUAGUGGAUAUCACAAAAUCUUAUGUUAUACUUAAUGAAAGUAUGAAUUAACUCUUAAGUGUUAGUGAAUCUAUUGUUUUGAUGGGAUACGCAUUCUACGAAACUAAUUUCAACGAUCCAACCGUCAAACAUGUUUGCAUAUACUUUGAGAUCACAUAUGCCAAAAAUUGGAAAAAACAAACAUUUAAAGAUUAAGUAACAGGACAAAGCUUUUCGACGGUUACAAAUGAAAAAUUACGUUUUAACGGUUAUUUUAACUUUGAUUUUGAUGAUUUUUUACAGCUACACUCUUUGACCCUAUAUGAAUACAAUGAAUGAAUUCGAUCUUCAAUUUAAAAAAUUUACACUAGUGGAUACCACAAAAUCUUAUGUUAUACUUAAUGAAAGUAUAAAUAAACUCUAGUGUUAGUGAAUCUAUCGUUUUGAUGAGAUACGCAUUCUACGAAACUAAUUUCAACGAUCCAACCGUCAAACUUGUUUGUAUGUGCUUCAAGAUCUCAUAUGCCAAAAAUCACAAAAAACAAACAUUUAGAGAUGAAGUAACGAGAUAAAACUUUUCGACAGUUAUCAACGAUAAAUCACAAUUUAAUGGUUAUUUUAACUCCGAUUUUGAUGAUUUUUUACAGCUAUACUCCUUGACCCUAAAUGAAUACAAUGAAUGAAUCUUCAAUUUAAAAUAUUUACACUAGUGGAUACCACAAAAUCUUAUGUUAUACUUAAUGAAAGUAUGAAUAAACUCUUAAGUGUUAGUGAAUUUAUUGUUUUGAUGGGAUACGCAUUCUACGAAACUAAUUUUAACGAUCCAACCUUCAAAUAUGUUUAGAUAUACUUUAAGAUCGCAUAUGCCAAAAAUUGCAAAAAACAAACAUUCAGAGAUCAAGUAAUGGGACAAAACUUUUCGACAGCUAUAAACGAAAAAUCACGAUUUAAUGGUUAUUUUAACUCUGAUUUUGAUGAUUUUUUACAACUACACUUCUUGACUCUAUAUGAAUACAAUGAGUGAACUCGAUCUUCAAUUUAAAAUAUUUACAAUAGUGGAUACCACAAAAUCUUAUGUUAUACUUAAUGAUAGUAUGAAUAAACUCUUAAGUAUUAGUGAAUCUAUUAUUUUGAUGGGAUACGCAUUCUACGAAACUAAUUUCAACGAUCCAACCUUCAAAUAUGUUUAUAUAUACUUUAAGAUCGCAUAUGCCAAAAAUUGCAAAAAACAAACAUUUAGAGAUCAAGUAACGGACAAAAUUUUUCGACGGUUAUAAACGAAAAAUCACGAUUUAACGGUUAUUUUAACUCCGAUUUUGAUGAUUUUUUACAGCUACAUUCCUUGACCCUAUAUGAAUACAAUGAAUGAAUUCGAUUUUCAAUUUAAAAAAUUUACAAUAGUGGAUACCGCAAAAUCUUAUGUUAUACUUGAUGAAAGUGUAAAUAAACUCUAAGUGUUAGUGAAUCUAUUGUUUGGAUGGGAUACACAUUCUACGAAACUAGUUUCAACGAUCCAACCGUCAAACUUGUUUGUAUAUGCUUCAAGAUCGCAUAUGCCAAAAAUCGAAAAAAACAAACAUUCAAAGAUCAAGUAAUGGGACAAAACUUUUCGACAGUUAUCUACGAAAAAACACGAUUUAAUGGUUAUUUUAACUCCGAUUUUGAUGAUUUUUUACAGCUACACUCCUUGACCCUAUAUGAAUACAAUGAAUGAAUUCGAUCUUCAAUUUAAAAUAUAUCUCAUCGAAGCUCAAUAGCUCAAACAAUCAUAUCAUAAAUCCAUAUUCAUAGAUAUCUUAGUAAACAUAAAUUCGAUAAAGCAUACAUCCGAUUUACUCAUAAACGUUUCAUAAAAUGUAGUCAUAAAAUCAUGCUUUUCAUGUAUGCAUUUCUAAUAGUAAAAACAUGCAUUUUGGAAUGGGUCCACUCACAGAUACUCUGUCGUCAAGGAGCCGUGCAAUUAGCGAGGACGGAAACACCACAAACAAAUGCACAUAAGCACAUAAAGGGACCAAUUAAUAAAACUAUACUAAGAUGAUUGAAUUUGGGAAAACGACGUCAUAAAUGGAUUCAGGACGUCAAAAAACCUAAAGAGGGACCUUAGGUACUCCCACACAUGGCGGCAACCCGAAAGGCCACUCACCAAAGCACGCGCCAAGUUGAGUCGCCUGAAAGUUGGUCGUAAAAGUUGCUGAUGCUGUCGUGAAAGACAGUGGAACACAAUAUCUUUGGUGAAUACGCUUGUGCUCUAUGUGUCGGCCAAGACAGGCACCCCCUACGCGUGAACCCACGCGCUGACCUGGAACUUAGGAACUGGUCGGGUUGGGUGGAAUUUGGGUUUCGGGUCUAGGCUUGGUUUAGUGGGCUGAAGGUUUGGGUUGGGUCGGGUAGCAUAGCCCAAGGUUUGGGCCAAUUUGGAUAGUCGAGUCGGGUAGCAACUUGUUGUUUGGAUCUAAGUUUAAGGGUAAUGGGUUGGGUAGACCAGGUUCAGGCCAUGGGUUUGGUUUGAAAUUGGGCAACAUUUUUUUAGCUUCGUUCGAGCUCAUUUCUACAUCAUUUGCAAUUAAUCAAAAGCCAAAAUGAAGCUUAGGAUGACAAGAAGAGAUUCGUACCAUUUUGGAGCCGUGUGGUGGCCAGAGUUAGCCGAAAAAUGGCCUGGAAGGCAUGGGUUCUUGCCGAAAACUACGAAAGUGUCCCCGAGUAGUUUCUUCGUAGUUUCGACAUCCAAAAAAUGUACAAGGGAGUUAGUCUUCAACCCAAGACGAGAUAGGGACGAUAAAAAUGGGUUUAGGACCUUACCCUUCGUCAUGACUCGACGGGGAAGACGGUGAACAGUGCCUUGGUCAUUGUUGGGCUACACAGCUUCUAGCUUGUGGUUUCGAGGUCAUAAUUCAGAUGGUGGUGGUGGUCAGGUGGGGAGUUUCAUCACUGUGGUAGUGUGUGUAUGAGUCAAGCUCGGAGAAAUAUAAAGGUUACAAAGAGGGAGAAAGAGAGAAAAAGAGGUCCGAGAGUUGUAUGGUUUUCAGAGAGAGACACAUGGAGAAUGAGAUGAGAAUAGAGAGUGGUCGGGGGACCAAAAAGGAAGUGGGCCCCACAUGGCACACCAAACAAGAUCCAAAAAUCAACCAUUUCAAAAUAUCUCCCAACCAAAGUAAAAUUACAAAAUUACCUUUCUGAUUCGUAAAAUCCAGGAUGGGUCGUUACAAGAGUGUUGUAAAUAUGGAUGUCCAUUGUUUGUUAGUGUGGAAGACACCAAAGCAUGAGUUUUGGGUCAAAGAGCCUAGGCUUGAAAGCCCAGCCUAAAGCAAAAGGGUUUUGGGAUUUUAAUAAAUAAAAAGGGUUAUAAGGUUAACGGGCCGAAGGCCUGAGUUCUAAAUGGCCCAGAUGCCUUAGUGACAUAGGGGUUGGGUUUGGGUUUCCAAAGAAUUGGGCUUUUGUUUAGGCCCAAAGGCCUUAGUUAUAUGGUUUUGGGCUUGAAGGCCUUUUCCUCGCCGAGGAAGAAGGUCGUACUCUUCCGAGCUCCGGUCGUUGCCAACACUUACCCCUAGGCCACGAUCUAUGCACCAAAAUGAAGCUAGAGACAAUAUGGAGAUAUUUUGUACCUUCGAUUAGUUGUUGGGUGGACGGAAGGGGCUGGAAAACGCCUUGAAUGCCACGAGGUUCGCCGGGAAAACUCGCGAGGUUUCUGGGCUUCGCCGUGCUUCAUAGAGACGAGGGAGAGAGGGGGGUGAUCCUCUUAAGUUGGUAGUGGUGUCAUGAAGUUUUGGGUGUGAGGAUGAAUGUGUGUGUGGGUAGAUCGGGAAGGGAGAGUGGCCACGAUCUACCCACCAAAAUGAAGCUAGAGACGAUAGGGAGAUAUUUGGUACCUUCAAUUAGUCGUGGGGUGGACAGAAGGGGCUGGAAAACGCCUUGAAUGCCACAAGGUUUGCCGGGAAAACUCGCGAGGUUUCUGGGCUUCGUCGUGCUUCAUAGAGACGAGGGAGAGAGAUGGGUGGUCCUCUUAAGUUGGUAGUGGUGUCGUGAAGUUUUGUGUGUGGGGAUGGGUGUGUGUGUGGGUAGAUCGGGAAGGGAAAGUGCGAGAGAGUGUGAGAGUUGACUCGGGGGGGGGGGGAAGGAGAGAGAGAGAUAUGGCGAGUUAAUGGGCUGCCACGUGGCAAGUAAAAAAAGGGAGAGAAUCUAGAAAUAGGAUUUUGAUUGGGUAGAUGAUAGGGGACCAAUUUGUAACUUCAAUAAAUCUUUAGGGGAAAAUGUGAAAUUACAAUAAUCUUAGGGGUGGGGUAUAAUAGUAACCGUUGGCUCAUGGUUGUAGAUAGAAUGGUUCACCUCAUGCAGUUCCAAUCGUCAAGUGGCACACGUGUCACACGAUCAUGCUUCAUCAGUGUGUAGCUAAACAUUUGAUAACGCAUCACCUUAGAAUUUGAAAUUGAUCAAUGUCAUCGAAAAGUACAAGAACAAUGAUCAAGUGAGACAAUACUUCAGUUGUUAGAAACUUCAUUCACCUUCAACAUCUCCAACAAGAUUGACUUGCUACCUAGCCAAAAGGAAUAAGGCUAAGCACAAAGAAUUGUUAAGAACUGCCGAUAAAAAUUGACAAGACCAAAGAUAUUUUGUAUUUCACAACACCUUGUACGAAUUUUCAAUUUCUACGAUCGCAACCCUUUUGGAAAUUGAUGAGAAUAACUUCUGCUAUAAAAAAGUCUUCCAAGAAAAGUAUUUAAUCUAAACAAAGUCAAAGUUUGAAGAAUUUGGUGUACAACUGACUGUCGAUGCUUAUUGAUCUUUACCUUGUUGUUGGAGUAAGCAAGAAGGUCAACGAUACGAAGAUCACCAAGAAAUCUUCUGAGGGUUCACAUUAAUUUCCCUCAGUGGCAACAACAAGUUCGAGAACAAUGAUUCGGUCCAACCAAACUAACACUUGCUAAACUUCGCAAACAACUAGCGCUUAUUCGCUUUCUUCAACACGAACUUCAGGUGUUUCGAGCAAUUUCCCCAUAGAUAUGACUCUGCCCACCAUUCCUAAAGAACGCAUGUCACAAAGUAACAUCACCGUAUUAGAUCUCUAACUGGUCUUGAUCAAACCUCAUACCACUAAAAUUUUUCAUUUCCCAACACAUUUAUGUAGAUCCGACUCUGCCUACCAUUCUUAAGGAACGCAUGUCGUAGAGUAUUAGUCCACUGAUGAAAGUCAUCCAUCAAUCCAUUUCGUCACUGGUAAGGCACAAUCCCGACAUAAAUUCUUGUACUUCGAACAUAAAGUGACAUUUCAGACAGAAAAUGUUUGCACAACUGUGCCAAAACGCACCAAAAUCAGGAAACCAUGACAUCCAAAUGAUGUCAAGGCCGACACAUUACUACAUUAACAGAAGAUCCUAAGUAUGCUCUGAACAAACCAUGCUCUGAUACCAAAUUGACACGCUCGACCCUGAUAUCCUCCAAACACCAGGGUAGGCACGUGCUGGCCGACACCCGAAAGUGAUAAAGCCAUACUAACAUGCAUGAGAACUAUGAAGAAAGAAUGAACAUAAAUAAAACUCAAAAAUUUAACUGUAAUGAAUAUGCAAUUGUGGAACGUGUUCGGAGCAUACAACUAAACCAGAAUAUUGAAGAAGGAAUAAUAUAAGGAAUGGGUCAUACACCGAGAGAACUCGAAGCUACUGAUGCAGGAAUGCCUUGACGCCGAGAUUGUACGCCUCGAUUCAAAGUCCUGAGGGGGUGCAAAACAAAAUAUGAAUGGACCAAGUUUAUAAAUAAGUAAUACUAAAACAAUUAUUGAUCAACGUACAAACCCCCAUUUUAGAAAACUCAUAUAUCAUAAUAAGUAAUAGGUUUUCCGAAAACCCUGGCAUGCGAUAAAACCUUCGUAAAACAUAUAUCAUAUAGUGUGCUUAGUAGUGGUAUCACAAUCGUCCGUAGGCACUACAUCUCCCUACCGAAGCCAUAUAUAAAUAUCUUCCGGCUGUAGGCACUACAUCUCCCCGCCAAUGCCAUAUAUAAAGAUCUUCCGCCCGUAGGCACUACAUCUCCCGGCCGAAGCUAUAAAUAAAUAUCUCACCCGUAGGCACUACAUCUCCCUGCCGAAGGCAUAUAUAAAAAUCUUUCGCCCGUAGGCACUACAUCUCUCGGCUGAAGCCAUAUAUAAAUAUCUUCAGCUCGUAGACACUACAUCUCCCAACUGAAGCCAUAUAUAAGUAUCAUUCGCCCGUAGGCACAUCGUAUGAAUAACUACUAAGUACAGAAAAUCAUGAACAUAAUAUUUCCAAAAUAUAUCUCAUCAGAGCUUAAUAGCUCAAGCAAUCAUAUCAUAAAUCCAUAUUCAUAGAUAUCUCAGUAAACAUAAAUUCGAUAAAGCAUAUAUCUGAUUUACUCAUAAACAUUUCAUAAAACAUAGUCAUAAAAUCAUGCUUUUCAUGUAUGCAUUUCUAAUAGUAAAAACAUGCAUUUUGGAAAGGGUCCACCCACAGAUACUCUGUCAUCGAGGAGCUGUGCAAGGACGGAAACACCACAAACAAAUGCACCUAAGCACAUAAAGGGACCAAUUAAUAAAACUAUACUAAAACGAUUUAAUUUGGGAAAACGGACAUCCUAUACGAAUUCAGGACGUCGAAAAACCUAAGAAGAGACCUUGGGAACUCCCACGCGCUGAGUUAAGUCACAGGAAAACUGGUUGAAAAAGUCGCCGGCGCCGUCGUUGACGGCGGUGGAACACAAUACCUCAUGCGAAGGCACGUAUGCUCUACGCGUCGGCCAAGACAGGGCCCACGCGCUGAUAUGGAACUUGGGAACCGGUCGGGUCAUGUCGAAUCUAGGUUUUGGGUCUGGGCUUAGUGUCUAGGUUGGGCCAAAGGUUCUGGGUUUGGGUCUGGGCUUGGUUUAGUGGGCCGAAGGCCUGGGUUGGGCCGGGUAACAUGGUCCGGUUUGGAUAGUUGAGCCUAGUAACAACUUGGGUUUUGGAUCCUGGUUUAAAGGUAACUGGUCGUGUCGACCCUGUUUCAGGUCGUGGGUUUGGCCGGAAACUGGGCAACACCCGAGCUCCAUUUGAGCUCAUUUCUACAUUUGCAAUUAUUCAAAAGCCAAAAUGAAGCUUAGGAUGAGAAGAAGAGAUUCGUACCAUUUUGGAGCCGUGCAAUGGCAUAAGUUGGCCGAAAAAUGGACUGGAAGGCACAGGUUGCCGAAAAACUGGGAAAGUGUCCUCGAGUAGUUUCUUCAUAGUUUCGAUGUCCAAAACAUGUACAAGGGAGUUAGUCUUCAACCUAAGAUGAGGGAAGGAUGAUGAAAAAGGGUUUAGGACCUUACCAUCUGUCGUAACUCGUCAAGGGAGACUGUGAACAGUGCCUCGAUCAUUGUUAGGGUACACUGCUUCUAGCCUGCAGUUUUGAGGUCACAAUGUUCAGAUGGUGGUGGUGGUUAGGUGGGAAGUUUCGUCAAUGUGGUUGUGUGUGUGCGAGUCAAGCUCGAAGGGAGAUAGAGGUUGCAGCGAGGGAGAGAGAGAGAGAGAGAAAAAAGGGAACUUUAACGAAAAGCACCAGGUACUGUUCACUUUAACGAAAACCACAUUUUUACACUAAAAAGUCAAUCCUGGUACUAUUCACUUUACCCUUUAUUUUGUCCUUAUCAUUAAAACUCAAAGUUUUCAAGCCCUUUUCAUUAGUUUUCCUAAAAAAAAAAAGGGUUUGAGAGUUGUAUGGUUUUCAGAGAGAGACACGGGGAGGAGGAGAGGAGAAGAAAGAGUGGGCUGGGGGACCAAAAAGGAAAGUGGGCCCCACAUGGCACACCAAACAAGAUCCAAAAAGCAACCAUUCCAAACUAUCUCCCAACCAAAGUGAAAUUACAAAAUUGCCCUUCUGAUUCGUAAAAUCCGGGACAGGUCAUUACAAGAGUGUUGUAAAUAUGGAUGUCCAUUGUUUGUUAGUGUGGAAGACACCAAAGCAUUAGUGGGUGUAGUAGGUAAAUGAUUUUGCCUAUAAAAUAUAAUUAAGAGGGGAAGGAGGAGAAUACAUCAACAAGAGAGGAAAUUAUGGAAGAAUUGAGGAGAGAAUAGAGAGUUAUAUUUGUACUCCUAUUAUUCCAAAUAAUGAAUGAAAGCACCACUGCUGCCCCGAGGACGUACUCCAGUCACACUGACUAUAGAGGAACCUCGUAAAUAUUGUGUCUUGUUUCAUUAAUUUCACUGCACACAUACCCUCAAUUUUACAAUAUAUUAAAAGUUGUAGAGACUAUUAACAAUUUGGAGAUUUAAGCUUAUGUGUACUUUAGGCUUAUAGGCGAAAGGUUAUUUGUGCUUAAAGGCUUAUGUCUGAUUGUAACUAAUAAAUGGAUUGCUAAUACAAGACUUUAUUUAAUUGAACUUAGUUCUAGUUCACUUGAUGAAAAUUUAUGUUCCAAAAAAAUUAAACCUUUUGAUCGAAUUGGAAUUUGUGAGGUGUAAAGUUAUUUAGAAAAUUAAAACUGUUGAAAUGUUAGACAUUUUUUUAUUGAUGUAUGGAGAAUAGGCUUGAACCAACCAAAUCAAACCGAUUAACAAUGAUUUGGUUUGUUUUGGUUUCAAUUGCGGUGUUGGACAACUAAACUGAACUAUUAAAUGCUAGUUGGUUUGGUAAUAUAUUUGGUGUCAAACUGAAUCUAGCCCAUCCCUACUUUAAUUAUUGUUGUCAGAAGUAGUAGUGUUAAUAAUGUUUAAGAAGGUGCCACGUUUUCGUUUUCAUUUCGAAGAACUUGUUAUAUUUUUUUACAACGAUAAGAUAAUUUACACGAAAUUCAUGCGGGAGGAGAAAAUAAACCCAGAACACAUUAAGUUUGAGAGGAAAGCCCCGUAACCACCAGGGGCAAUCCAUUCGAAGAACUUGGUUGAGAUCGCAAAAAAAUUUCAACAUUACAACGGGGUCAAUCAAAAUUUAGGGCUAUUUGAAAGAGAGAUCAAUGAAACCCUUUAAAAUCGAACAACAUAUCCAAACAAUACUUGACUACACAUCGAAAAGGGAAGUCAUAUCCGCACACCCACUUCCCCUCUCUGCACACCCUUACUUAUUUCCAUUCAGAAACGCUUACAAAGUUGCGUGCACGAAUCAUUUCCCUUCGAAAAUGAUUGCCGGGUUUACGAAAGGUAUUUCUUCUUUUACCAAACUUAUGAUUACAUUUGCUGGAAGUUUUUCAUCAAGUAAAAAGGAAUAUGUACAAAUUUUCAGAUGGCCAGAGGCAAAAGUUAACUACACAUCCAAAUCCAACGCAGAAGGGCUAGAAAUACCCUCUGUAUAAUAUUAUCCAAUGUUGGUCCUCCUAUAGUCUCAAUACAAGCUAACAACCCUUCAAGUCCCUCCAUCUUAGGUACAGUAGACCGGCACGGUAGUGUGUGUAAGCUGCUGCCACAACCAAGAUAUGGAAAAGUUGGUGACUGUUCCCAGCAAUAUCAAACUUCCCUGGUCUCCACCGCUCGGGUAUCCUUGUAGCAUAAAUCAAUGCCCCUAGUCC
rnacentral:lncRNA from 1 species